GAAGAUUACACGAGCCCCAAGUCGUAUC
rnacentral:sRNA from 1 species